rnacentral:rRNA from 1 species
AACGAACGCUGGCGGCAUGCCUAACACAUGCAAGUCGAACGAUGGCUUCGGCCAUAGUGGCGCACGGGAGAGUAACACGUGGGAACCUGCCUUUCGGUUCGGGAUAUCGUCUGGAAACGGACGCUAACACCGGAUACGCCAUGAUGGGGGAAAUGUUACGCCGCGAGAGGUGGCCGCGCCGGAUUAGGUAGUUGGUGGGGUAAAGGCCCACCAAGCCAACGAUCUGUAGCUGGUCUGAGAGGACGGCCAGCCACACUGGGACUAAGACACGGCGCAGACUCCUACGGGAGGCAGCAGUGGGGAAUUUUGGACAAGGGGCGCAAGCCUGAUCCAGCAAUGCCGCGUGCAGGAAGAAGGCCUUCGGGUUGUAAACUGCUUUUGUACGGAACGAAACGGCCCUCUCUGAUACAGAGGGCUAAUGACGGUACCGUAAGAAUAAGCACCGGCUAACUACGUGCCAGCCGCCGCAGUAAGAC